GAGGAAAGUCCGAGCUCCUCCAGACAGGAUGCUGGGUAACACCCAGGGGGGGCGACCCUACGGAAAGUGCAACAGAAACAUACCGCCUGUGAAAAUAGGUAAGGGCGAAAUGGUGAGGUAAGAGCUCACCGGCAGUCCGGGUGACCGGCUGGCCGGGUAAACCCCGUCCGGAGCAAGGCCAAAUAGGGGAACGCAAGGACGUCUGGCCUGUUCCCGGGUUGGCCGCAUGAACCAGACGGUAACGUCUGGUCUAGAUAGAUG
rnacentral:misc_RNA from 1 species